rnacentral:rRNA from 1 species
GAUGAACGCUGGCGGCGUGCCUAAUACAUGCAAGUAGAACGCUGAAGCUUGGUGCUUGCACCGAGCGGAUGAGUUGCGAACGGGUGAGUAACGCGUAGGUAACCUGCCUGGUAGCGGGGGAUAACUAUUGGAAACGAUAGCUAAUACCGCAUAACAGUAGAUAUUGCAUGAUAUCUGCUUGAAAGGUGCAAAUGCAUCACUACCAGAUGGACCUGCGUUGUAUUAGCUAGUUGGUGAGGUAACGGCUCACCAAGGCGACGAUACAUAGCCGACCUGAGAGGGUGAUCGGCCACACUGGGACUGAGACACGGCCCAGACUCCUACGGGAGGCAGCAGUAGGGAAUCUUCGGCAAUGGGGGGAACCCUGACCGAGCAACGCCGCGUGAGUGAAGAAGGGUUUCGGAUCGUAAAGCUCUGUUGUAAGAGAAGAACGAGUGUGAGAGUGGAAAGUUCACACUGUGACGGUAGCUUACCAGAAAGAGACGGCUAACUACGUG